AAAUAAAUAAUCUUUUGAUAGGAUACCAUCUAAAGAAAAUACCCCGUAUAUGUAUCUGUUAUCAUAAAUAGCUAGAGUGUAUGAAAAGGCAAAUACCUGAAUCAAAAAGAGGUUAUUAUCAUAAACAAAUAUUAGAAAACCUGUACAGUAAGAAAGUAUAAAUACAUUUAGUACACUAGAAAAAAUAAAACCUUGUUAUUGUUGUUUUUUACAGGAUAUUUAGUCCUUUGAAAAUGACCAGUGUAAGCACACCAUAAUAACAUAUUUAGAAUUUAUCCCUUUGAUGACAAUUGAUAUAAACAGUAUAAUAAUAUAUUUAAAUAAUAUUUAUUCCUGUAAGUCUUUUAUAAGGCUAUGAAAACUAUUGGGUCAGUCUCUUGUAAGAUGAAAACUGUUGAGGUCCCCCUAGUGAACAAAGACUGGAAAAUAUUUCCAUGCGGCUGCUCCUUUGGGAGCAUGCCUUGAACUUAAUAACCUUUAUCUAUAAAUAAAACAGCUGUAGGAUUGGACAAAAACAAAGAUAUAAGACAAUUUCUAAAACUAGAGUGCACUCAAAUAUAUUUAGCCCAAUGGAAUUAUAAUCUCUUUAUAAUUUUAGGUUUAUAAUUAUAAAUAAGACUAUUUAAAACUUUUUGUAAGUCAAUUAACAGAGAUCUCUUGUAGAAUUAAAAUCAGAAGGAAUGAAACCUCUAUUCCUGUAAACCUUUUAUAAUAAACUUGAAACCAACAAGUAAACAUAUAUUUCCUUUAUAAAUCACUUUCGCACACCUUCUUGAUGUACUUAGGCCUUUUGGUCUUGUCCUGCUAAUAAGACAAACAUAUAAAAUCCUUUUAUAUCAAAAAUAUAUCUUUUACUUAUAGCUUUUUAAAUAUUUUGUCUCCGACUCACUAUAAACAUUUUAUACUUUUGUCCAUCAUUAUCUCAUCCCUAGUGGUCUUUGUUAAGUAAAUAAAGUUCUAAUUCCUGUUUAAUGGUUAGACACAGGUGGUUUCUGUCACUGAUUACAGCCCUAAACACAUGACAAUUAAGGCACAUAUAUCACAAGUUUGUUCAAGGAUUUUUACUUCAUUCUUUAGUUAGGAUGUUAUCUAUAGUGGAGCUACAAAUCAAAGAAGCUAUAUAACCUUUACUUUGAACAGCAGAAGCAAUGGGCUAAUGCAAGUUUUUAAAGGGAUACACUACUUAGUUUGCUUCCACAACUACUUUAAUAGCUAAUCUAUUAAGCUUUAAAACUUUUUCUUAUCAACAGAGUUAUAAAGUGGGGGAGGUAUGAGCGGUGAGUGAUCAGCUCAGGCUAGGAGUACUUGAGAAGAACAGGUUUGACAGAGGGAGGGUUAAGAGCAUAGGUAGAAAAGGCUUGUAUGUAGGGGAUUUCUGACCAUUUGCCAUUGCACUGACAGAAGUUGUGUAAAUCACACAGUAUGUUAAAAUUGAAAGUGCCAUUUUUGGGGCGUGGAAACCCAUUAUCUAAUUUAUACUGAGGCCAAACCUGAUUACAAUAGAAAACAAAUCUUUUUGGCCUAAAGUCUGGUCCCAACAAUCCGAGGGGUUUGAGUUGUGCCAGAAGGCAGCCCAGAGGCGUUGAGGGGCGGGGUUUGGAUUGUUGGGCCCCCUGAUUAGAGCGGGUGAGGGGGAGGCAGCCCCUGGGGAGAAAGACAAAGGGGAGAAGCGUCCUUGUCUCCUUUGACAAUCUCCGAGUGAGUCUCCCAGAGGGAGAGAACGAGAGGAGGCGGGCCGAUGGGACGUCUCCCAGGGGCACGGUCCUGGGCCCAGAGGCCGUGGGGGUUUCUCUGACCAAGCGCUUGGAUUUCUGAGGAAGUCCCCGGAGGGAGAGAGAACGAGACAGAGAACCCGACGAGAGGGAGGCUGAACUCCCUACUCACCCAGACAUUGGUGACCGGUGUGGAUGUGUAGCGUCAGCAAUGGCAAAGGUAGAAAGCCCCGGAGGGUCCUGGCAACGGCAGAUAGGUCCGUUGGAGAUGGCCAAAAGGUCAAUCAACCCCGUCCUGCGGGGGGAUCGUCCCUUAAUGGACCAUCUACCAUCCGAGUCACGGCACCAGAAAUGUCAGUUCCGGUGAUUGAACCUAGGAUUUCUGCAUGGAACAACACCCCAGACCCCCACUUCCUGUUUUGUUUUGUUUUUUUGAGAUGAGGUCUUGCCAAGGCACUAAAUUGCCCAUGCAGCCCUCCUGUCUCAGCCUCCCACACUGCUGAAAUUACAGCCUGGAAGUUUUGUGCUCAAUUUCAACUCUUUUAAUGGUGUCCUUGAAUGCUACCAUUUGCAGGUGUUUUGAAACUUUGUUUCAUUUUUUAAAAAUUCUGUUCUCUUCUGAAAGAGAUGAAGUCUGAAAACUGCCACCUUUUC
rnacentral:lncRNA from 1 species